ensembl:lncRNA
GGCGUGGGGUGGUGGGGGUGUACUCACAUGGGGCCCCGACCUCAGCCGUCUCCCAGGGUAGUGCCAUCUGGCUUGCAGAUGUGGCCUGUUCCCAGCCCCUCGGACUUCUUGGAAAUGAGCAAGACCAGGAGAGGGCACAGGGCCUUUUGCAACAUCUAUGACGACGUGAGCUCUGUCUUGUGGUCAUCCAGCCGACUGUGGCCCAAGCUCAGGGGACAGCUGGGUUGAGAGUGAACAGCCCAGGGGUCAAGCUGACCUCUGAUACUCACCAGGCGUUGACCUGAGUACACUGCAGAGCCUCUUGGAACCUCAAUAAGCAAGGAAGUCACUCCUACCUCUGGCAGGGGUUUUGAGCAUUUCCAAAGCUAUGGGGGGAGCAUUUUGCAGGCUGCAAGCCUUGUGCAGCUGGAAGUGGUCACAGGUGGCCCCAGGGCUGUCCCUUCAGUCUUGGCUACUGCGUUAACAACAAAUUUCCAUCUACUCCUAAAUGGCUCCUUAUCCCUGGGUGAGUCUAGAGGUGGGGGCAUUGGUCACCGGGGCCUCUCGGAAAUUUCCUUCCAAACCCACACUUCUGCAAAUGGGGUCUUGGUGCACUGAAAAGGAUAGGCAGCCCCUCUUGCUCUUGGAGCCUAGAGCUCCUCAGAAGACCCCCUUUGAAAGCCGGGCAAGCAUUGCAGAGAAUGGCAGCCUAGGGGUGGAAGGCGGAGAAGGCAAUGGCACCCCACUCCAGUACUCUUGCCUGGAAAAUCCCACGGAUGGAGGAGCCUGGUGGGCUGCAGUCCAUGGGGUCGCUAAGAGUCAGACACGACUGAGUGACUUCACUUUCACUUUUCACUUUCAUGCUUUGGAGAAGGAAACGGCAGCCCACUCCAGUGUUGUUGCCUGGAGAAUCCCAGGGACGGCGGAGCCUGGUGGGCUGCCGUCUUUGGGGUUGCACAGAGUCGGACACAACUGAAGCGACUUAGGAGCAGCAGCAGCAGGGACAGAAGGACAGACGCGUUGAGGCCUGGAAUAUCCCAGCAGACUCAGCCUGAGGCAUCUAAGGACCCAGCAGCAGCACAGGCUCAUCCUCAAUCCCUCGGAGCCCAGCAGCCUGGUCAGGACCCACAGGCAACCCAACAUUCUCUGAUGGGGGCAUCCUUGUUCCUUUCAGGCAAGGGCACUGGCUGGUGGGAGCCACCCCUUUUCAACCCUCACACUGACAGAGAAGGGCCUCCUGAGGACCCAAGGAGGGCAGGCAGUGGGUUCCCAGGACACAGAACUGUGAGUGCCACCCCUCCCCACCCACUGGCACCCACAUCCUCCCCUCUACACCAUGCCGGCAAUAAACUCCCCAUCCCAUCCUCAGAAUGACCAUGAAAGCAGGCCUCAGAACGGGAAGUGUUAACAAGGAAGGCCCUGUUGACUGACGGGCUGAGGACAAGUCAGGGCUGUUGGGUUGGGGUUGUAGGUGAAAAGAAAUGGAACCAAGGAAGGGAAAAUCCACCAGGAGCCAAGAAUCCACCCCCAUCCCAUGCUCCCUACAAACCAACAAACACAGAGCCUGCAUGCUACCAAAACCAAAGGACUUGAGGGAGCUGUAAGGAUGGUGGUCAUCUUCCCUGGAAAGGAGUAAACGGGGUCGGAUUCUGAAAGCAGGCUCCCCAGAGCUUCCCGACAGAAGACACAGGCUGCCCCCCGGGGCCAAGCGACAUUUCCUGAAGACAGUGGGGAACAGGGAAGAAAAAACAGUCCGUCCUCCGGGAGUAGGAGGAUGUGGACAGCCAGCACCAGCGUCACUGUGGUCUUUCUAGAGACAAAGGAACAGAACCAGGCAACCUACAGCCACAGAGGAUACGGAAGCAAAUACCUUCCCCUGGUCAAAGGCCUCAACCUCUGGCCCUGUGUCAGAGUUUCCCACAGGAGCGUGGGACUGCCUCUCAUCCAUUUCCUGUCUCUGCACCCAGGAGAGCUGCUAUCUUUGCGGCAAUACUCUGAGCCCAACGGGGUGUGCUGGAAAUAGCCACCAAUUCCCCUAGUGCAAGCAGGGCUGUGACCCUGGAACCGUCUCCUCCCCUUCCUGGCUCGCCAUGUGCAAUGAUAAGCCUCCCCUGACCACCGCACAGCUGUUCUGCAGAUUAAACAUGGAGGGGCGGUUUUUCAAAUGGCAGGCACUCAGAUGCCACCCCCCCUUUUUUUUCCUCAGAUGCCCCCUUUUUAACUUUUGCCAUAUCUGCAAACAAUCAUAAGAUUUUAAAUUUUAAGAUGAGUCUUUUUUAAUACCUAAAAUAGGAAACUAAACACUGUCCAUAAUUAGGAGAUAAUAAAGAUAAGAG